rnacentral:lncRNA from 1 species
GGCACGCAGGUCCCGCCUCCUGAGGACGGGUGAGUUCGCUGCUACCUGAGAUAGUGGUCGGGAGAGUUUGAGGGUUUGCGAAAGAGUUUACUGAUCGAUCCGAAUAAAAGUGAAAUGUGUGGUCGGGCGCGGUGGCCCACGCCUGUAAUCCCAGCACUGUGUGAGGCGGGGGCGAGCGGAUCACCUGGGGUCAGGAGUUCGAGACCAGCCUGGCCAACAUGGCGAAACCCCGUCUCAAUUAAAAAUACAAACAUUAGCCGGGCAUGGUGGCGGGCGCCUGUAAUCCCAGCUACUCGCCUGUAAUCCCAGCUGAGGAAGGAAAAUCGCUAGAACCCGGGAGGCGGAGGCUGCAGUGAGCCGAGAUCUUGCCAUUGCACUCCAGCCUGGGCGACAAGAGCGAAACUCCGUCUCAAAAAAAGAAAGAAAAUAAAAAGUGAAAUGUGGAUGUAACAACGCACUUUUAAAAAAAGUCUAAACAUCUGAGGAAUGUGUCUGUGCUUGCAGUGUCCAGCCAGCACAGAGACUGCACUCAAGGGAUGUGGGAACGGCUGAUUGAACGUGAACUGCGGUCAUUAAAUCUUUUAUGUCUGUGUUAAUAUCUACAAAUAAGCCUUAAUUUCUGUAGUUUCUGCAUAUCUCACACGGUUCCUGGCAAAUUGAAGAGUGUUUCAUGAAUUCAGGACUUUAUUGUGUUUGCUGUGAAUCAGUUUGUUUUGUACUGACGAUGAUGUUGGCUAACUCCCUUGUAACUAGUACUUAUUUGAAAUAAUGUCCUCGGGAUUAUUUUAAGCAAUGUUUAAGUAUGAAAUCAUUUCAUUCUCCUAACAUCUCAAGGAAUAUACUAUUAUAUUCUACUUUACAAAAGGGGAAACUGAGGAACGGGGAAGUUAAGUGGAAGCUAAGUGGAAGAAUCCAGAUAAUUGACCUCUCCUUCUAUUGGUAUGCAAUUGCUAGAGCAAUGAUAGUCCUCCGGUAGAGCCUUAGACAUUGUGUUUAUUGCAUUCCUGUUCCACCCACUGCAUUCCGGAUACUCCAACUUACUUCCAACACACAUAUGCAGGCGUCUCUAAAAUUCCGGAGAUAUGGUCACCAAUUAUUUUUAUGUGCGACAUGCUCAAAUCUUAAUAUAGUAAACGCUUGUAUAUUCAUAAACCAGCUUAAUAAAUGAAACAUUACCAUUCCUGUUGAA